AACGAACGCUGGCGGCAGGCCUAAAACAUGCAAGUCGAACGCUGUAGCAAUACAGAGUGGCGCACGGGUGAGUAACACGUGGGAAUGUGCCUUUUGGUACGGAACAACUUUUGGAAACGAAAGCUAAUACCGUAUGGUCCCUUCGGGGUAAAGAUUUAUCGCCAAAAGAGCAGCCCGCGUCUGAUUAGCUAGUUGGUAGGGUAAUGGCCUACCAAGGCGACGAUCAGUAGCUGGUCUGAGAGGACGAUCAGCCACACUGGGACUGAGACACGGCCCAGACUCCUACGGGAGGCAGCAGUUAGGAAUAUUGGACAAUGGGCGCAAGCCUGAUCCAGCCAUGCCGCGUGAGUGAUGAAGGCCUUCGGGUUGUAAAGCUCUUUAGUCCACGAAUAUAAUGACUGUAGUGGAAGAAUAAGCCCCGGCUAACUUCGUGCCAGCAGCCGCCGUAAGAC
rnacentral:rRNA from 1 species